UACGAAGGGGGCUGGCGUUGUUCGGAAUCACUGGGCGUAAAGCGCACGCAGGCGGAUCGAUAAGUCGGGGGUGAAAGCCCGGGGCUCAACCUCGGAAUUGCCUUCGAUACUGUCGGUCUCGAGUCCGGGAGAGGUGAGUGGAAUUCCUAGUGUAGAGGUGAAAUUCGUAGAUAUUAGGAAGAACACCAGUGGCGCAGUCGGAUCACUGGACCGGUACUGACGCUCAGGUGCGAUAGCGGGGGGAGCAAACAGG
rnacentral:rRNA from 1 species